CUUGGGAAGGGGACUCCAUAAAGUUGUUUAUGAACUCCUACGAACUCUGGGGAUCACGUCUAACCUAUACAUGCCUGUCUAUUCCCUGAGACACAAGAAUACUGAAGUCAGGCCAGUUAAUGACCUUCCAGUGGGCUCUAAGUGUUCUCGUGAAAGGCAGAGUCAAUCGAUGUGGCAAACUUUGUUGUCGUCUUACUUUAAGAUAUUGCCGCCGCCCACCCCCACUCCCCACCUUCAACAACCAGCACCCUGAUCGGUCAGCAGCCAUCCACAUCGAGGCCAGACCCUCCACCAGCAGCAAGAUUACAACUCGCUGAAGGCUCAGUGGUCUGGAACCUAAGCUGC